CAAAGAAUAGUUAAACUUUAAAAUGCUAGCUUUGGGAGUUAGUGGUGGGAGUUAAAAUCUCCCUUCUUUGA
rnacentral:tRNA from 1 species